CCUCCAGACUAAAGCUCUGAGCAAAUGAGCUUCUGUGAUAUAUGUUUAUUUUGUUUUAUGACUGUUUUAGGCUAAAUGUGAUCCCAAUUUUCCUGCAUGUCCACAAAACUAUGACCCUGUCUGUGGCAUGGAUGGACAUACCUAUAGCAAUGAAUGUGAUCUAUGUCAGCAAAGCAAAAUAGAUCCUAGAGAGUGUAAAGGCAGUCACAGAAGAUAACUAAACUGAAGGGGACCAGGAAUAUUAGCAUUCAAUGGGUUUAAUUCCAAUGGAACCUAGGUUUUCCAGGGGAAGAGAGGACAGGAAGAAUGGAGGGAUGCUAAGGUACUUAAAAAUAAUAAUAGUUAAUAUUUAUAUAGCAUUUAAAGACAGCUAGAUGGCACAGAAGAUAGAGCACUGGACAUGGGGUGAGGAAGACAUAAGUUCAAAGUUGGUUCCAGACACUUACUGGCUAUGAAAUCCCAGGCAUGUAACUUAACCCAGUUUUCCUCAGUUUCCCUAUCUGGAAAAUGAACUGGAGAAGGAAAUGACAAACCAUUUCAUUGACUUUUCCAAGAAAACACCAAAUGGGUUCCCAAAGAGUUGGACAAUACUGAAACAGUCAACACCAUAUAGCAUUUAUGAUGUUCUGGGUACUGUG
rnacentral:lncRNA from 1 species